CUUUUGAAUAAGCUUCAAGAUUAUAUAAUCAAACCAGGAAGUAGGUGGGACUUUCAUAGUGUAUUACAACAACAAAGAAGUUACUUCAAACAACGAUCACUGUUUUUUUUUCUCUCUGACAUCAUUGCACAUAAUGGCAUGCGCGAUAGAACAGAAGAGUAUGAACAAAACGUUUUUAUUUUUUUUACCAUGAUGCUGGAUUCUCCUCUGUUUCUUCAACAAAAACCAAACAAAAAAGAAUGCAACGGAGUGAACAGUGGCACUGUUUCACCGUGGGGGGAAUUCAGACCCAGGAUACAGACACGUCUGCAACAAAGCCCUAAAGAGGAGGAAGGGAUUCCAAAUUGGGUCAAGUUCUCUAUGGAGAUUGGUGGUGAUAGAUGAAUCCAAGUUCUCGCACAAGAGAAAGUACAAUCGUCGAAGGAUGGUGCCAACAUGGAGAAGACAGGGUUGGGUGUUUGGGGUGAUGGAGGUCAAACACAACAGACGGUGCCCAGUUCUUAAAAUGGUGGAAAACCGUUCACAGGAAACCUUAAUCCCUAUCAUCAGACGACAUUUGCGAAGAGGUUCCACCACCCAAAGUGACUGCUGGAGAGCGUAUGUCAGGUCUAUGAAUAGGGUGGGUUACAAUCACCAGACAGUCAACCACACAAACAACUUUGUGGAUCCUCACACAGGAUGUCACACACAACAUGUUGAAAGAGGGUGCCAGACAAUAAAGGGGCAGGUCUGGAGGCUAAGGGGCAAUCAGACCAAAAAAAGUUUAAAGAAGCAUCUCCAUUUUAUUAAGUGAUGUACUGGUUGGGUAAAAAAAAGGAGUACUCUCCACUCUUCAAAGACAUCCGAUUAGUAUAGUAGCUGUGAGAUUUUCACUCUCAACAUGCACCCCCUAGAGGAAAUGGAGCCGGGAGUACCCGGUGCCGGGUACUUUGCUGCCUCAAUUUAAAUAGCGGUCCAUACCGGCCCUUUAAAUACACGCAACCCCUGCAGGCUCUAUUUUGAUGAAAACAACAGAAUCUCAACAUUUCAUUUAUAUCAACCAAUACGAUGUCUUUG
rnacentral:lncRNA from 1 species